rnacentral:rRNA from 1 species
CGGACCUCAGAUCAGGCAAGAUCACCCGCUGAGUUUAA